rnacentral:miRNA from 1 species
UUGUAGUAAUCGGCUGACCCUCCA